AUUGAACGCUAGCGGGAUGCUUUACACAUGCAAGUCGAACGGCAGCGCGAGAGAGCUUGCUCUCUUGGCGGCGAGUGGCGGACGGGUGAGUAAUAUAUCGGAACGUGCCCAGUAGCGGGGGAUAACUACUCGAAAGAGUGGCUAAUACCGCAUACGCCCUACGGGGGAAAGGGGGGGAUCGCAAGACCUCUCACUAUUGGAGCGGCCGAUAUCGGAUUAGCUAGUUGGUGGGGUAAAGGCUCACCAAGGCAACGAUCCGUAGCUGGUUUGAGAGGACGACCAGCCACACUGGGACUGAGACACGGCCCAGACUCCUACGGGAGGCAGCAGUGGGGAAUUUUGGACAAUGGGGGAAACCCUGAUCCAGCCAUCCCGCGUGUAUGAUGAAGGCCUUCGGGUUGUAAAGUACUUUUGGCAGAGAAGAAAAGGUACCUCCUAAUACGAGGUACUGCUGACGGUAUCUGCNGAAUAAGCACCGGCUAACUACGUGCCAGCAGCCGCGGUAAUACGUAGGGUGCAAGCGUUAAUCGGAAUUACUGGGCGUAAAGCGUGUGUAGGCGGUUCGGAAAGAAAGAUGUGAAAUCCCAGGGCUNNACCUUGGAACUGCAUUUUUAACUGCCGAGCUAGAGUAUGUCAGAGGGGGGUAGAAUUCCACGUGUAGCAGUGAAAUGCGUAGAUAUGUGGAGGAAUACCGAUGGCGAAGGCAGCCCCCUGGGAUAAUACUGACGCUCAGACACGAAAGCGUGGGGAGCAAACAGGAUUAGAUACCCUGGUAGUCCACGCCCUAAACGAUGUCAACUAGCUGUUGGGGCCGUUAGGCCUUAGUAGCGCAGCUAACGCGUGAAGUUGACCGCCUGGGGAGUACGGUCGCAAGAUUAAAACUCAAAGGAAUUGACGGGGACCCGCACAAGCGGUGGAUGAUGUGGAUUAAUUCGAUGCAACGCGAAAAACCUUACCUACCCUUGACAUGUCUGGAAAGCCGAAGAGAUUUGGCCGUGCUCGCAAGAGAACCGGAACACAGGUGCUGCAUGGCUGUCGUCAGCUUGUGUCGUGAGAUGUUGGGUUAAGUCCCGCAACGAGCGCAACCCUUGUCAUUAGUUGCUACGCAAGAGCACUCUAAUGAGACUGCCGGUGACAAACCGGAGGAAGGUGGGGAUGACGUCAAGUCCUCAUGGCCCUUAUGGGUAGGGCUUCACACGUCAUACAAUGGUCGGGACAGAGGGUCGCCAACCCGCGGGGGGGAGCCAAUCUCAGAAACCCGAUCGUAGUCCGGAUCGCAGUCUGCAACUCGACUGCGUGAAGUCGGAAUCGCUAGUAAUCGCGGAUCAGAAUGUCGCGGUGAAUACGUUCCCGGGUCU
rnacentral:rRNA from 1 species